rnacentral:rRNA from 1 species
UGGGGAAUAUUGGACAAUGGGCGCGAGCCUGAUCCAGCCAUGCCGCGUGAGUGAUGAAGGCCUUAGGGUUGUAAAGCUCUUUCGGCGGGGACGAUAAUGACGGUACCCGCAGAAGAAGCCCCGGCUAACUUCGUGCCAGCAGCCGCGGUAAUACGAAGGGGGCUAGCGUUGCUCGGAAUCACUGGGCGUAAAGGGCGCGUAGGCGGACAUUUAAGUCGGGGGUGAAAGCCCAGGGCUCAAACCCUGGAAUUGCCUCCGAUACUGGGUGUCUCGAGACCGGAAGAGGUGAGUGGAACUGCGAGUGUAGAGGUGAAAUUCGUAGAUAUUCGCAAGAACACCAGUGGCGAAGGCGGCUCACUGGUCCGGUUCUGACGCUGAGGCGCGAAAGCGUGGGGAGCAAACAGGAUUAGAUACCCUGGUAGUCCACGCCGUAAACGAUGGAUGCUAGCCGUUGGCAGGCUUGCCUGUCAGUGGCGCAGCUAACGC